rnacentral:rRNA from 1 species
ACCUGGUUGAUCCUGCCAGUAGUCAUAUGCUUGUCUCAAAGAUUAAGCCAUGCAUGUGUCAGUAUAAGUAUUAUAUAGCGAAACUGCGAAUGGCUCAUUACAUCAGUCAUAAUUUAUUUGAUAUUUGAAAGUUACAUGGAUAACCGUGGCAAUUCUACAGCUAAUACAUGCGUUGAUACCCGACUUUACGGAAGGGUAGUAUUUAUUAGAUAUUAAACCAAUCCCUUCGGGGUUGUGAUGAUUCAUAAUAACUGAUCGAAGCGAGGAUUUCCUUGCUAAAUCAUUCAAGUUUCUGCCCUAUCAGCUUUAGAUGGUAGUGUAUUGGACUACCAUGGCUAUCACGGGUAACGGAGAAUUAGGGUUCGAUUCCGGAGAGGGAGCCUGAGAAAUGGCUACCACAUCUAAGAUGGCAGCAGGUGCGAAAAUUGCCCAAUCCCGAUUCGGGGAGGCAGUGACAAGAAAUAUCAACCCAGGUCUUAUGACCAGGAUUGCAAAUGAGAAAAAUCCAAAAAACUUAUCGAGUAUCAACUGGAGGGCAAGCUAUGGUGCCAGCAGCCGCGGUAAUUCCAUCUCCAGUAGCGUAUAUUAAAAGUUGCUGC